CCUACGGGGGGCAGCAGUGAGGAAUAUUGGUCAAUGGCCGAGAGGCUGAACCAGCCAAGUCGCGUGAGGGAAGACGGCCCUACGGGUUGUAAACCUCUUUUGUCGGGGAGCAAAGCGAGUCACGUGUGACUCAUUGAGAGUACCCGAAGAAUAAGCAUCGGCUAACUCCGUGCCAGCAGCCGCGGUAAUACGGAGGAUGCGAGCGUUAUCCGGAUUUAUUGGGUUUAAAGGGUGCGCAGGCGGAGGUGCAAGUCAGCGGUAAAAUUUCGGGGCUCAACCCCGUACUGCCGUUGAAACUGCAUCCCUUGAGUGCGCGAGAAGUAUGCGGAAUGCGUGGUGUAGCGGUGAAAUGUAUAGAUAUCACGAAGAACUCCGAUUGCGAAGGCAGCAUACCGGCGCGCAACUGACGCUCAUGCACGAAAGCGUGGGUAUCGAACAGGAUUAGAUACCCGAGUAGUC
rnacentral:rRNA from 1 species